rnacentral:misc_RNA from 1 species
AAGAGUGUAACAACUCCCUAAACCCAUGUGAACUUACCUUCUGUUGCCUCGGCAGGUCGCGCCUACCCUGUAAGACCCUACCCCGUAGAGUCCUACCCGGGAGACGCGGGUAAUCCUGCCGGCGGCCUACAAAACUCUGUUUACUCAUGUUAUUUCUGAACCUAUAACUAAAUAAGUUA